AUACCUUUCUCGGCCUUUUGGCUAAGAUCAAGUGUAGUAUCUGUUCUUAUCAGUUUAAUAUCUGAUACGUGGGCCAAUGGCUCACACGAUAUUAACUCAAUUUUUUUAGGGGAAAGGCCCAUUAAGGUAGCUUGCUUCCUGGGCCUUUGAGUGUUGCCUUGGUUUUGCACUAUUGCCUUGGCUUGGCACACCCCAC
rfam:Ipomoea nil DNA, scaffold: scaffold0268, cultivar: Tokyo-kokei standard.